GCAUAAGAAUAUUAUUGGUGUUCACUCUAUAUUUGAUAUUUUUACUUCAGCUUAAUACUUGCUGAUUUAUCGUUACAUUGAAGUUAUUCAUCUGUUUUUUAAAUAAAUAUUUAUUUAUUACAUAAAAAUAAACUAUCGGUUAUUAUAAAGAAAAAAGAAGUUAAUAAAAUGGUAUGUGUACCAUGCGUUGCUGUUCCUAUAUUAUUAAUUAUAUGGAGAUUUUUAAUUCAACCGAUUAUUUUAAAAUGGUGGCAAUUAAAAAACAAAAUCAAAUGUACUAAUGAAAAAGAACCAACAUCAGAUUUAGUUAAAGAUUGUAAAAAUGGAGUAUGUACAUUAGCAUGGAAGAAAAAGGACGAAGACAUAGGAAAAGUCGAUUAAAAUUUCCUUGAAAAAAAUUAGCAAAUCAUUCCAAAGACUGCUACUAUGCAGAUACAAUAGUCUGUACAAACCUUUUUCUAUUUAUUUUUCACAUUUUAAAGUUCACCUUUAACACAAUGAAUAUGAAAGAUAAAUUAUAUUAAAAAAAUAUUUAAUUGAAGUUUUAAUUUUAUUACAUGAUAUUUCGAUGAAUACAAUUAAUUAAUACAUUUAAUGUGUACAUUACUUUUAUGAUACAUAUGACUUAAAAGUUGAUUUUACGAAUUUUAUUAUAAAAGUUUAAAUAAACAUAUGCGAACUAGAAUAUUUGCAAAAUUUACUUGAAAACGUCAAUUACUUUCGUAUAAUAUUUAACAGUAAUCUGUAAGAUGUUACAAUUAAUUAUAGUGAGAUAUAGAAUGUAUUAUACUUGUAUACAAUGUACUUUGACUCUGCUGUAUCAUAUGUUAUCUGUAUAAAUCAUAUUAAAUGCAAUGCAUUAAUGUAACUUCUUAUCAAAAACAUUAACACUUUGUUUUAUCGUAUAUCUAACAAUUCAAACUGCUUUAACCUAUUUAGGCGUUCCUUCAUAAAUUUCAUAAGUUUUUAUUUGAGCAUAAAUUACUUACCAUUAACAUAUAAGGAUGUCACAAAAAAAACAUAAAAUUAUCUGAACAAUACUGUAACAAAAAUGCAUAUAUUGUCGUAGUAUGAGAAUAAAAAUUAUAUUUAAUAUAAAACAUUUAAUAAUAUAUUAGCAUAAAAAUAUUAAAACAUCCUUUUAUGGUAAUAGACAAAUAAUAAAACCUUUUAAAAUUAAUUAUGAGAAGUAUGUAAAUAUUUAUCAGAUUAUGACAUGUUAAUGGAUACUUUUGAGUUCAAUGUCGAAAACAAGUGUACUGUUACCAGGAAUAGUAGGUGGGAAACCUUUAGCACCAUACCUAAAAAAAUAAUUAACUUAUAGAAUAAACAUACUAAA